rnacentral:rRNA from 1 species
UACGUAGGGUGCGAGCGUUGUCCGGAAUUAUUGGGCGUAAAGAGCUCGUAGGCGGUUUGUUGCGUCUAUCGUGAAAACCUGCAGCUUAACUGUGGGCUUGCGGUGGAUACGGGCAGACUUGAGUUCGGUAGGGGGAGACUGGAAUUCCUGGCGUAGCGGUGAAAUGCGCAGAUAUCAGGAGGAACACCGGUGGCGAAGGCGGGUCUCUGGGCCGAUACUGACGCUGAGGAGCGAAAGCGUGGGGGAGCGAACAGG